rnacentral:rRNA from 1 species
UACGAAGGGGGCUAGCGUUGUUAGGAAUUACUGAGCGUAAAGCGGGUGUAGGCGGAUCUUUAAGACGGAGGUGAAAGCCCAGGGCUCAACCCUGGAGUUGCCUUCGAGACUGGUGAUCUGGAGUGUGGGAGAGGUGAGUGGAAUUCCGAGUGGAGAGGUGACAUUCGUAGAUAUUCGGAGGAACACCAGAGGCGAAGGCGGCUCACUGGACCACUACUGACGCUGAGCCCCUAAAGUGUGGGGAGUAAACAGG